rnacentral:rRNA from 1 species
GAUGAACGCUAGCGGCAGGCCUAAUACAUGCAAGCCGGACGGGAUCCAUCGGCGAGCUUGCUCGAAGAUGGUGAGAGUGGCGCACGGGUGCGUAACGCGUGAGCAACCUACCUCUAUCAGGGGGAUAGCCUCUCGAAAGAGAGAUUAACACCGCAUAACAUCAACAGUUCGCAUGUUCAGUUGAUUAAAUAUUUAUAGGAUAGAGAUGGGCUCGCGUGACAUUAGCUAGUUGGUAGGGUAACGGCUUACCAAGGCGACGAUGUCUAGGGGCUCUGAGAGGAGAAUCCCCCACACUGGUACUGAGACACGGACCAGACUCCUACGGGAGGCAGCAGUAAGGAAUAUUGGUCAAUGGGCGGAAGCCUGAACCAGCCAUGCCGCGUGCAGGAAGACUGCCCUAUGGGUUGUAAACUGCUUUUGUCCAGGAAUAAACCCAGAUACGUGUAUCUGGCUGAAUGUACUGGAAGAAUAAGGAUCGGCUAACUCCGUGCCAGCAGCCGCAGUAAUAC